AUUGAACGCUGGCGGCAGGCCUAACACAUGCAAGUCGAACGGUAACAGGAAGAAGCUUGCUUCUUUGCUGACGAGUGGCGGACGGGUGAGUAAUGUCUGGGAAACUGCCUGAUGGCGGGGGAUAACUACUGGAAACGGUAGCUAAUACCGCAUAACGUCGCAAGACCAAAGAGGGGGACCUUCGGGCCUCUUGCCAUCGGAUGUGCCCAGAUGGGAUUAGCUAGUAGGUGGGGUAACGGCUCACCUAGGCGACGAUCCCUAGCUGGUCUGAGAGGAUGACCAGCCACACUGGAACUGAGACACGGUCCAGACUCCUACGGGAGGCAGCAGUGGGGAAUAUUGCACAAUGGGCGCAAGCCUGAUGCAGCCAUGCCGCGUGUAUGAAGAAGGCCUUCGGGUUGUAAAGUACUUUCAGCGGGGAGGAAGGGAGUAAAGUUAAUACCUUUACUCAUUGACGUUACCCGAAGAAGAAGCACCGGCUAACUCCGUG
rnacentral:rRNA from 1 species